rnacentral:snRNA from 1 species
ACGCUCAGGUCUCUCCUCAACCUUGUGCGAACUAACCUUUCGCCUUUUACUAAAGGUUACCGUUGGGAGGGACCAUCCAAUGAGCAUUCAUGCCAAUUUUUGUGAGGCCCUACCUGUUUGGGUGGGG